rnacentral:misc_RNA from 1 species
GAUGAAGAACGUAGCGAAAUGCGAUACGUAAUGUGAAUUGCAAAUUCAGUGAAUCAUCGAGUCUUUGAACGCACAUUGCGCCCCCUGGUAUUCCGGGGGGCAUGCCUGUCCGAGCGUCAUUGCUGCCCUCAAGCACGGCUUGUGUGUUGGGCCCCGUCCUCCGAUCCCGGGGGACGGGCCCGAAAGGCAGCGGCGGCACCGCGUCCGGUCCUCGAGCGUAUGGGGCUUUGUCACCCGCUCUGUAGGCCCGGCCGGCGCUUGCCGAUCAACCCAAAUUUUUUAUCCAGGUUGACCUCGGAUCAGGUAGGGAUAUCCGCUGAACUUAAGCAUAUCAAUAAGCGGAGGA